GACGAACGCUGGCGGCGUGCCUAAUACAUGCAAGUAGAACGCACAGUUUAUACCGUAGCUUGCUACACCAUAGACUGUGAGUUGCGAACGGGUGAGUAACGCGUAGGUAACCUGCCUGGUAGCGGGGGAUAACUAUUGGAAACGAUAGCUAAUACCGCAUAAUAUUAAUUAUUGCAUGAUAAUUAAUUGAAAGGUGCAAUUGCACCACUACCAGAUGGACCUGCGUUGUAUUAGCUAGUAGGUGAGGUAACGGCUCACCUAGGCGACGAUACAUAGCCGACCUGAGAGGGUGAUCGGCCACACUGGGACUGAGACACGGCCCAGACUCCUACGGGAGGCAGCAGUAGGGAAUCUUCGGCAAUGGACGAAAGUCUGACCGAGCAACGCCGCGUGAGUGAAGAAGGUUGUCGGAUCGUAAAGCUCGGUUGUAAGAGAAGAACGGGUGUGAGAGUGGAAAGUUCACACUGUGACGGUAUCUUAACAGAAAGGGACGGCUAACUACGUG
rnacentral:rRNA from 1 species